ensembl:lncRNA
AGGUGUUAAUCACGUGACCAAGAAGGUUCUUUUUUGGCCAGUUUUGUCCUUGGUUGCUUGGCAGGCAUUUGAGGAUAGAAGAGGACUGUGGGCACACCCCAAUGAGCAGGCAGCAACAGGGCUGAGGACUUGAACACACAGAGCUGGCAACUUGUGAGAUAAAGGGCUAUACACCUGUGCAGUCCAAUGUGGGAGCCAAGCCUGGUGUGGGAAAAGAAGCACUUGGACCUUCUUCAGGCUUGCUUAAGAUUAUAGACCUGUCCCUGAAAAAUCUCUGUAUGGGUAUGGAGUGCGGAAAUGCAAGGAUAUUCAGACUCCGGAUUUUCUCCUUCCCUUUGAGGUUGUGAGCAGAUGGCCUGGCUCCAUCAAAUAGACACAAACUCGGAGCUGACUAGAAACGAGUUCACCGGGAAUUCAGGAGAGCGGGCGGUGCGCACAGCU